GACGAACGCUGGCGGCGUGCCUAAUACAUGCAAGUAGGACACAUUUGCGAACGGGUGAGUAACGCGUAGGUAACUACCUAUUAGAGGGGGAUAACUAUUGGAAACGAUAGCUAAUACCGCAUAAUCGUAGAUCGACCUGCGUUGUAUUAGCUAGUUGGUCGGGUAAUGGCCUACCUAGGCAACGAUACAUAGCCGACCUGAGAGGGUGAUCGGAGACACUGGGACUGAGACACGGGCCAGACUCCUACGGGAGGCAGCAGUAGGGAAUCUGCGGCAAUGGGGGGAAACCUGACCGAGCAAAGCCGCGUGAGUGAAGAAGGUUUUCGGAUCGUAAAGCACUGGUGUUAAGGAAGCGGUACUUAAGCAGAAGGGGACGGCUAACUACGUACCAGCCGCAGCGGUAAUU
rnacentral:rRNA from 1 species